UACGGGGGGAGCAAGCGUUGUUCGGAUUUACUGGGCGUAAAGGGCGCGUAGGCGGCCACUGCAAGUCAGUUGUGAAAUCUCCGGGCUUAACCCGGAAAGGUCAACUGAUACUGCAGGGCUAGAGUGCAGAAGGGGCAACUGGAAUUCUCGGUGUAGCGGUGAAAUGCGUAGAUAUCAGGAGGAACACCGAUGGCGAAGGCAGGUCUCUGGGCUGACACUGACGCUCAUGCACGAAAGCGUGGGGAGCAAACAGG
rnacentral:rRNA from 1 species